AAAAAAUUUUUAUAGUUUUAUUAUUUUAUUUUGAAUUUAUUUUACAUACAAAUUUUAGUAUGAAAUUUUAUUUAUUUUAAUAAUAUAAAAUUAUAAUGUAGUAAUUAGUUUUAAAUUAUUUAAGAAAUUAAGAUUUAGUAAUUUAAAAAUAAAUGACUAAUUUUGUGCCAGCAGUUGCGGUUAUACAAAAAUUUAAUUAAAAUUUUUCAGUAUAAUAAUAAAUAAAAAUUAAAUUAAAUUAAAAAUUAAAUUUUUAAGUGAAAUUUUAAUUUAAUAAAAAUUUAUAAAAUUUUAUGAUUUAAUAAAUUUUUAAAAAAACUAGGAUUAGAUACCCUAUUAUUAAAAUUUAAAAUUUUAUACUAAAAUAGUAGAUAAUAAUUUAUUGAAACUUAAAUAAUUUGGCGGUAUUUUAGUUCAUUUAGAGGAAUCUGUCUAAUAAUUGAUAAUCCACGAUUAAAUUUACUUAAUUUAAUAUUUUAUAUAUCGUUGUUAAAAAAAUAUUUUUAAAUAAAAUUAAUAUUUAAAAAUUAUAAUUAAAAAUUAAUUCAGAUCAAGAUGUAGAUUAUAAUUAAGAAUAUGAUGGAUUACAAUAAAUUUAUUUAAAUGGAUUUUUUUUUUUAAUAAAAAAUGAAGGUGGAUUUAAAUGUAAUUUUAUUUAAUAUGGUAAAGUGAUUAAAAAUUAAAGUAUGUACAUAUUGCCCGUCGCUUUCAUUUUAAAGUUGGAAUAAGUCGUAACAAAGUAGAGGUACUGGAAAGUGUUUCUAGAAUUAG
rnacentral:ncRNA from 1 species